GAUUUCAACUGAAAAAGUCAUCAACAACAAAGUUGUAAAACUCAUCAAGAUCUACAACUUUUAUUUUGGUCAUUUCUUCAUCCGACAAAGUGUUAGUAACAUUGUUCACAAAAAUUACAAAUCUGUGUUAUAGUUUAUAAAUCUAGAUGAGAGAUGUGAAUUUUGUGAACAAUAUUACUAUUACUUUGUCGGAUAAAGAAAUGACCAAAAUAAAAUUUAUAGAUCUUAAUGAGCUAUACAACUUUGUUGUUGAUGACUUUUUCAGUUGAAAUC
rnacentral:pre_miRNA from 1 species